rnacentral:misc_RNA from 1 species
GGGAGGGGGGGAGAGGGAUAUUUCCCGAUCAACAAAAGAUCAAAAACUGUGAAAUUACCCAUGUUCAAUUUCAGCAAGAAACAAGCAUGAAACUUGGUGUGCUCAGGUUUCCCAAAAUAAUUAAACAUAAAAAAACUUUGAUUUUUAAGGAAAAUUUCCGUUAAUAUAAAUUUCCUUGUUGAAAAACAAAUCAUAAAAGAAAAC